rnacentral:lncRNA from 10 species
AUGGCCUUCAGCCCCAGUAACACUGAGAUUGAUGAUUUGCCAAGGUUGUCUGGUCCUGGUAAAAAAUGUAUGAAAUGCCUCCACCUGAACAGAGAAGAAAAUGUGAUCCCAAUGAGAACUGUCUGCAGCAUCACACUCACCGCUGUGUCUGAGAACAGGAUUUUCCAUUUCGGCAGUGGAUCUAAACCUGAUGCCCAGGACCUGUUUUAA